AUAGUCAAACAUUUUCAGAGCAUUACAAACCACCACAAUGCCAACAAAGACACAGCUUUGAAGUUAGCUCAUGUUGAGGAAGUUUGCCAUAUCAUUGACAGUGGGACAUGGUUUUCAAAUGGGAAAAGAGUUCAACCUGCACAACAGACAAUUGAAGAGAUAAAUCAUCCACGGAUUCAAACUUUUGUAAUGGGAAAUAGGACACAGAAAGAAGAUGAACAAAUUAUAGGAGUGAAAAGAAAUGUAGGAGACGAAAUCAGAAACAUGAAAAGGAAGGAUGGAAGUAAAUUAAACAUUGGAGAAAUUGUUUAUUUUAAAUUAGAUGACCAUAUUAAUUAUGGUAAAAUUGACUGCAAAACCAGUUCAGAUGUUACUGUUUUGUUGAUGAUACCUCACCAGGAAGAUCCCUUAUUCCAU